CCCAGCAGAUCUAGCCUGGUUUCCCACUGAAGCUAAGCAGGCUUGAACAUGGCCAGUACCUGAAUAGGAGACCUCCUGUGGAUAACUAAGCUUGCUGCUGGAA
rnacentral:rRNA from 1 species